UGCAAGUCGAACGAGAAAUUUCCCGCUUGCGGGAGAGAGUAAAGUGGCGAACGGGUGAGUAACGCGUGGGUAACCUGCCCCUGAAUCUGGAAUAACUUCGCGAAAGCGAGGCUAAUACCGGAUAUUGUCCCAGGGACUGUGGUCCUUGUGAUGAAAGGUGACCUCUUCACGAAAGUUGUCGUUCAGGGAGGGGCCCGCGUACCAUUAGCUAGUUGGUAGGGUAAUGGCCUACCAAGGCGAUGAUGGUUAGCUGGUCUGAGAGGAUGACCAGCCACACUGGCACUGAAACACGGGCCAGACUCCUACGGGAGGCAGCAGUGAGGAAUCUUGCGCAAUAGGGGAAACCCUGACGCAGCAACGCCGCGUGAGCGAAGAAGGCCUUCGGGUCGUAAAGCUCUGUCAAGUGGGAAAAAAGCUUACUGGUAAAUAGCCGGUAAGACUGAUGGUACCAUUAAAGGAAGCACCGGCUAACUCCGUGCCAGCAGCCGCGGUAAUACGGAGGGUGCAAGCGUUGUUCGGAAUUACUGGGCGUAAAGGGCGUGUAGGCGGUGU
rnacentral:rRNA from 1 species